GGCGGGUUACCCAAGUGGCCAAAGGGGGCAGACUGUAAAUCUGCUGGCGUUCGCCUUCGAAGGUUCGAAUCCUUCACCCGCCA
rnacentral:tRNA from 4 species